rnacentral:rRNA from 1 species
UAGAGUAAUGCGUGACCAACCUGCCCCAUGCUCCAGAAUAGCUCUUGGAAACGGGUGGUAAUGCUGGAUGCUCCAACUUGACGCAUGUCUUGUUGGGAAAGUGUUUAGUGGCAUGGGAUGGGGUCGCGUCCUAUCAGCUUGUAGGCGGGGUAAUGGCCCACCUAGGCUUCGACGGGUAGCCGGCCUGAGAGGGCGGACGGCCACAUUGGGACUGAGAUACGGCCCAGACUCCUACGGGAGGCAGCAGAU